GAGACUGCGCUGCUCCAGCCCGGGAAAAGUUCUAGAAUAGAGGCGCGGCGCAAGUCAGGGGGCCGCCUUGGAAACCGCAGCAAGGGCUCCUUGUGGGCUCCAGGCUGUUGGAGAGUGAGGGAGCCUCCUCCCCUUUCCUUCCCGUGGAGUAAACAGAGCUUGGCAGGGCUGGAGGCUUUCUUCCUUUUAAAAAGUGCCAUUCUGAACAACGAUACAAAGUGAAAAAAUAAAUUUUUUAAAAAAGAAAGGGAAAAACUACAAUUUGACCAUUCUGACCAGCCUCCUUGUUCCAACUGGCCUCUUGAUUUGUAUAAAGAUAAUGGGGUCCGGCGGCCCCCUUGAUGCAUGAAUUGCACGCUGGGCAUAAUGAACUUAUUGUGCGAAAGCACUUUGGACUUCGGACUGUGUUCCUAUGUCAGAAUUUUACUGUGGUUUGUAAGAUAAACUGGAAGGAAACAAACUCGUGGUUAACUCUUGUCAAUACGUGUCUUGAACCAAGCAAAGUGACAUUUCCUACCUGUGGCUUUGACUUUAAGCUGCACAAAAGGUAGGAGCUAGCCUCUCAGCUGUUCAAAGCCUAGAAUGAGAUGCCUGCUUAGUAGGUGUUAAAUUAUAACAGCAACAACCCAUAUGGUGCUUAUUAGGAGAAUAGUAUUCCAAAACUUCUCUAAUGACUGUGACCCUCCUGUGAAAUUCUGAUUUCAAUUGUAUAUGGGGUACAAUAAAUCUUUAUCUUUUAUCACCAGAAAAGCUAAUUGAACUGCUGUUUGCAGGCAGAAAUAACAAAAUGGGGGUAAUGGGCUCUUAGCCUGGGCUAAGACUCUCAACAGCUUUUUUCUGUUUUGCAGCUCACACAUACAGUCGGCUCAGGCAGACGGCCCAAGACAAGCCUGUGCCAAAGAAAUGCUGAUUUAGUCUGACCCAGACAAUCUCUACUCCCACAUGUCACUUCUCUGCAGAACUCUUACUAGUAUGGCAAAUACUUUAAAAAUCAUACAAUAAAAGAAGGCAAAACCUCAGUAAUUUGAGGUUCACUUUUAAUAAACUCUUUCCAUGCAUUAAAAUAAAUUGAGGCCCUGAGCUCUGGCGAAAUGUUUCCGGGUUUUUAAUUCCCACCGCCCCCCCACCCCGGAGGCAUAAAUAGCCACAUACGCAAUUCAAAGUACUC
rnacentral:lncRNA from 1 species